UGGCCACACUGAUAUCAGAGUUUAAGAUGUACCCUACACAUUUAAACAUCUGACAGCAACGACCACGUGUCGUUGAAGUUUGCAGGCGCAGACCAACGACGGCAAUCAGACAUAUAAAAGCUAAGUGUCCAACACAAUACACCAACUCCUGUGCAACCAACAUUCGACAGGAGAGAUUUGAUUAUUCGAGUAUGGUACUGCAAAAUCAAUCCCAGGUUCGAGAAAAAGAGGACCCGUUUGCACCAUCAGCACCCAGAAGCGUCUCUGCGCAUUUAUGUUAAUUUCGACAAUUAGAAUAUUCAGACAUUAAAAGCCGUAACUCUGUAUCAGGUGUUGAAACUGGCGCACAUUUCAGUCAGCAUCAAGAUAAGAAGGGAAGGGAUAACUAGGAGUUUCUGACUAACCGACGGAGUAAAGUCCUUGUCGAGAAUCUGACAGUCGCUCAGCUACUGAAGAAAUUCAUUGCCGUUUAGGGAGCACGAAAUCCGGUUACCGUCUUCACAAAAGCGAUAAUCGGUCUUUAGGAUGUCUUGAGUCGGAUGAAUAUAUUUCACGUUUUUUCGACUUAUUUACUUAGGUACGUCCUGGAUUAUAUUUUGAUGUAAGUCUUCUGACAAGUCUCUUGAAGCCAAAAAACAUUCCAACUACGCAUUUCGUAAUUAUGCAAUUUACAAGCGUAGAUAGAAAUUAGACAUUAAAGUACAUAUCAUAAAAGUGAAGUUGUAGACUUGAUUAAGCAUGCUCAGAAUAUGGCACAAAGGAAUGUUUUUUUUUAUAUGUUUCAAGAAUGCGGGCGAUUUUGUGAUAAUCAAAGUAGCUACCAAUUUCCUGUAAAAAUUAUAUAAACCGUGGAGUUAGAUUUUAUUUGACCUCGAGACUUCUAAUAUUAAAAAUUGUAAUCGUCGAAUCUCACGUGCAAAUAAUAAAUUCUCGUUGAUUAAUGCUGUGUGUGUGGAUUUCCGCCUAUGUUCCUACUCAUUCAACGUCUGAUGAUGGAAAUUUUAGUGGAUUGGUGCUCCGACUGCCGUUUGAUGUAAUUGCCUUCUAUGGGCUGAUUAUAAUUAGCUCGUGGAUUUGACCUUAUCAUUGAAAAUUAUCGGGUCAUAAUGAAUACAAAUUUAACCGGGUUGCAGAGAUAACGACCGUCACUUAUCGGCGUUGAUGUCGGGCGGUGUGAUUCACCGGUCAAAUGUUCCACGGAGGAAUUGGAGUGGUAUAACGAUCCUCUAGGACUCUGACGUUGUACACACGAACGUAGACUUUGGGAAAGUCGACAGGAGGAGAUACGUCGUGAUCUCAUCUCCUGUUGCCGUUCGACUUGAUGCAUCCUCUAUAAAGUCAUACAAGGUGAAUUGCUUGAAAUAGUCUCUACUCUGAAGUAGAGAGUUCUGUAAGUAGGCUGAGAUAUUACUUAAGUUUUUAGAUGCCAACGCUCAGGAGAUUCACGAGAUUUAAUAAAGAUUGAAAUUGUAUGUUUUUCGCGAGCUGUUUUAUCCCCGUCGAGUGUACGCGGCACCAAACCGAGAACAUUAUUAUUACCAUUCUCACCGCCGUGAACCCUUAAAUCUUAAAAAACUUGGCUGAAUAAGGAAAAUGUAGUUCUGUUGGACGUUGACGAUGUCAGAUCUCGGAGGUGGACUUACAUCAUAUUCACACGUGCCGUAUUCUCUCUGCUGUUGCCCCAAGGGGUCUCGGGUGUGCUGUUACCGAUACAACGUGUCUACGCUUACGAAACACAGGAGACGAGAUGCCUGAAUGGACGUUUCGGCUUUGACUAUUGUGACAUCGUGAUGUCUGUUACGCCAUACGACACGAGACGACGUAAAUGUUGUCGCAGCACAGAAGUAAGGACUCCUAGGAAAUGCAUCGGCGUCAGAUUUUAGGUUUUUCACUAGCAAGUGAAUCUUCGUAGUUCCGAAACUCAGAGGAGGAUCUUCAUCGCACCCGGAGUUCCGCAACCACUUCCACCCGGACGCCGCACCGCCACGAGACGUCUGAAACGAUGAGUGUCGGCGGCCAUCAUACCGGCAUAUUUCGUUUCUACCAUCGUUGUUGGUGAGUGAAAUGAAUGAAUUUAAUUUUAAAUUAACACACGACUAACGUCUAGGGUGCAGAGGUUAAACUUCCCCUCCUUCCAAUGUUCCUUAAUUGUGAGUUUCCAAUUAAUGUUUUGCUUGUUUCCAUCAUUCGAGUAAAAUGAUUUCAGAUUAUUUCUAUUUAUUCUUUUUCUUAUUUUUCGCCUUCUUCCUACCCUCAGAGGAUAGACGGAUUGGUGUAGAGUCGUAGCUGCAUGCAUUCUUAACCACUAACAAGAUCAACUCUACAGUCCAGCCGCUGUGUUGCAACGGAGUAUCAGCGGAAUCCAGCAAAGACACAAUUAGUUUUCCCAAAAUAUUAGAAAUGAUGAGGAAUGAAUAGGGUGUGAGAGAUCGUAGACCAUAUUUAUGUGCUUUGGGUUAAGUUGCAGUGGUAGGUUCUGGUAAAUCAUAAAGAAGAUAUUCAGGAUUUUAAAAAGUGGGGAUUUUCUUUUUUGAUGAUCUGAGUAAGGGAUAGCUUUUCAGUGACUUUGCUGCAUCAAGUUAAGUAAUUGUGAGAUGAUUUAAGCGUCUGGUAACAGAAAGUAUAAAACGGGGAAGAUUUUUCAAUUUGAAAAAAUUUCAUGUAGCUGAAAAAUACAUUAUCGUUAUUUAUUUACAUAGCUUUGCCCUUAAUUACGCAUAUAAGUGUGAUUACAGUAAUAUGACAGAACAGACGUACAGUCCACAUUUCUGUCGUCGACUAAUCCUGUGGUCGUUUGACCACGUUUGACGUAGACAGAGUGCAUCCAAUGAAAGUAAUUGAGAAAUAAUUUCAAUUUUAUAGUAGCGUAGGCAUCAGUACUAGGACAUUAAAGUGUGCAUUGAUGAGAGAUACAGACGGAAAUUAGGGACGAGACAACGAAAUCACAUGCAAAUAACGUGUGAAUAAAAUAAUACAGGCUUUUGGAAGUCGAAAUAAGUGAAACGCCCGACAGUGACAUUUUAAAUGAAGUUUUCAGAUUGUUAUAUGUUAUUUAAUAAAUAAAUUAUUUACUUGUA